rnacentral:rRNA from 1 species
CAGUCGCCGCGGUAAUACAGAGGGUGCAAGCGUUAAUCGGAAUUACUGGGCGUAAAGCGCGCGUAGGUGGUUUGUUAAGUUGGAUGUGAAAUCCCCGGGCUCAACCUGGGAACUGCAUCCAAAACUGGCAGGCUAGAGUAGGGCAGAGGGUGGUGGAAUUUCCUGUGUAGCGGUGAAAUGCGUAGAUAUAGGAAGGAACACCAGUGGCGAAGGCGACCACCUGGGCUCAUACUGACACUGAGGUGCGAAAGCGUGGGGAGCAAACAGGAUUAGAUACCCCAGUAGUCCCUGUCUCUUAUAC